rnacentral:lncRNA from 1 species
CAGCAAGCGAGCCGCCGACAACAAGAUGGGCUAGCUGCACCUGGUCGACUUGGCGGUAAGAAUAAGAACCUUAUGCUUUGAAAAGGUCGCUUCUUCAGUAAAAGCAACAUUUCAUUCACCGUGGAGAACAGCAAGCGAGCCGCCGACAACAAGAUGGGCUAGCUGCACCUGGUCGACUUGGCGGUAAGAAUAAGAACCUUAUGCUUUGAAAAGGUCGCUUCUUCAGUAAAAGCAACAUUUCAUUCACCGUGGAGAACAGCAAGCGAG